AUAUGUAGGGUGGAGCCUUGGGCGGACAGGGGAUGUUCUGUCCGUUUGGCGUCUAUGGACAUACCCGAACCGACUAAAUUGGCGGUCAUGGGACGUGACGAGUACAUCCCAGACCCGUCGCACAACAUCGGUCUGAUGAGCACCCAGCUGUAGGAGGAUUUGAGUUAUGAGGAGGCUCCGUUGCGGAUUUUGGCACGUAAGGUGAAGCUGUUGCGGAACUGAAGUAUUCCGUAUGCGAAGGUUCUGUGGGAAAACCAAGAGG
rnacentral:lncRNA from 1 species